rnacentral:rRNA from 1 species
GACGAACGCUGGCGGCGUGCUUAACACAUGCAAGUCGAACGGAAAGGCCCUGCUUUUGUGGGGUGCUCGAGUGGCGAACGGGUGAGUAACACGUGAGUAACCUGCCCUUGACUUUGGGAUAACUUCAGGAAACUGGGGCUAAUACCGGAUAGGAGCUCCUGCUGCAUGGUGGGGGUUGGAAAGUUUCGGCGGAUGGGGAUGGACUCGCGGCUUAUCAGCUUGUUUGUGGGGUAGUGGCUUACCAAGGCUUUGACGGGUAGCCGGCCUGAGAGGGUGACCGGCCACAGUGGGACUGAGAUAAGGCCCAGACUCCUAAGGGAGGCAGCAGUGGGGAAUAUUGCCCAAUGGGCGGAAGCCUGAUGCAGCAACGCCGCGUGCGGGAUGACGGCCUUCGGGUUGUAAACUGCUUUCGCCUGUGACGAAGCGUGAGUGACGGUAAUGGGUAAAGAAGCACCGGCUAACUACGUG